GGGCCUGUGGCUCAGUUGGUAGAGCGUUCGCUUAGCAGCUUCGCUGGGUUGUGUCUCGGCAGAGACGUCGCCCGGCUUAUGUCCUGCGAAAGGUCCUGGGUUCGAUUCCCAGCUCGUCCA